rnacentral:lncRNA from 1 species
UCAAAAUCCAGAUUUUAACACAGUGGAGUCUUCCUAGCUUGUCAUUUUUGGAGAAACCAAAUGAAUAUAAAAGAGAUCUAUGGAUUUCUCAGUUGGAAGGCAAGGUCAGUCCCUGAGAGUACAUCCCCGGCCAGCUGAAAGAUGAACUGUCAUGAAGUGAAUCCAACCUCAAUACCCAAUAAAAUCCUUAAAAUAAAGCCUUAACAUUAACGUGUCUACAGCAGUGAAGAGAAACAUGACAGGAAGCUUUGGGAGAGACUCCGUGGUUUGCCAUCAUAAGUCUAUUGGGUGGUCACUCUGCCUCCUCACUUUUAGCUAAGAACCUUACAAAAGCAGAAUUAACUACUUUGUCCUUAGCUUGGACUUCUUACGAUUUCUUUCUACAGUUUCCAAAAAAAUAACAAAAUACAAACUAGUUUCACUUAUUGCUAUUGACUCUUCUACUGACUUCCUGCCAAAGACUGGUUGAAAAAGGAAUAUUUGGGACCUUCUGAGGAAAUUACUACAUUUCAGAUUUGGUAUUCCUCUCUGAAACUAUAUUGCCUAUAUGUCAUUUCUUCUUCAAAAGAUCAAAAAAUUGAUUAACAAUUAGUCCUCUUUUAUUUUCUAG